UACGUAGGGACCAAGCGUUGUUCGGAUUUACUGGGCGUAAAGGGCGCGUAGGCGGCAUGACAAGUCACUUGUGAAAUCUCUGGGCUUAACUCAGAACGGCCAAGUGAUACUGUCGCGCUAGAGUGCGGAAGGGGCAAUCGGAAUUCUCGGUGUAGCGGUGAAAUGCGUAGAUAUCGAGAGGAACACCUGAGGUGAAGACGGGUUGCUGGGCCGACACUGACGCUGAGGCGCGAAAGCCAGGGGAGCAAACGGGAUUAGAAACCCCAGUAGUCC
rnacentral:rRNA from 1 species